AGAAAGGGCUUCUGUCAUGAGUGUCACACGUAGAGCAGCCUUAUUGCUCUACAUGUGGAAUCGACAUCAAGAGAUUCCAGAAGCAUAAUUUUCUGGUACUUGGGCAGCUGCUGAUCAUAGGUCCUGGCGCCCAC